rnacentral:rRNA from 1 species
AAGGGCACCACAAGAACGCGUGGAGCAUGUGGCUUAAUUUGACUCAACGCGGGAAAGCUUACCGGGUCCGGACACACUGAGGAUUGACAGGUUCUUGUAGUAUCUCUUUGCCGAGAUACUAAGUAAAUAUGCUAGACCUUUCAUGAUUGUGUGAUAGGUGGUGCAUGGCCGUUCUUAGUUCGUGGACUAAUCUGUCUGGUUAAUUCCGAAAUGCUAUAUGAGAGGGCAUUUUUGAGAUUUUGUAGCACCUUUGGAUAACACUGGUCAAAUGUAAUUUGUCUUCUCUUUGGCAACGAACGUGGCCGCAACCAUUAAUUUUCAGGGUUUCAUCUACAUACUUUAUACUAUCAAUUUAUUUUGUUAGAAAGAGUAUAGGGAGCCUCGCCUGCACAACAGGAAUUAAUGGGACGCAUACGCUUUUAAGGUGAAGAAAGACUGCGGCCAUAACAGGUCUGUGAUGCCCUUAGAUGUCCCGGGCCGCACACGUGCUACAAUGAUUUAUACAGUAAGCAUAUAUCGAAUUUUACGAUGAAAUUUUUCAUAUUUGAAAGGGUCCGUCGUGAUUAAGCCUUCUUCGAAAGUAAGAAGGUAAUCAAUUCGAAAUAUAAAUUUCCGCGUAUUUUUAUAAUAUUCACUUUUUUAAAAGUGUUUAUUAUAGACAAAUAACCAAUCAAGGUAGGGACAGACCAUUGUAAAUUGUUGGUCUCGUCUCAACUAGGAAUGCCUUGUACGGGUCUUGGUUCAACAAACCAC